rnacentral:rRNA from 1 species
GUACACUCCUACGGGAGGCAGCAGUGGGGAAUAUUGGACAAUGGGCGCAAGCCUGAUCCAGCCAUGCCGCGUGAGUGAUGAAGGCCCUAGGGUUGUAAAGCUCUUUCACCGGAGAAGAUAAUGACGGUAUCCGGAGAAGAAGCCCCGGCUAACUUCGUGCCAGCAGCCGCGGUAAUACGAAGGGGGCUAGCGUUGUUCGGAAUUACUGGGCGUAAAGCGCACGUAGGCGGAUCGAUCAGUCAGGGGUGAAAUCCCAGGGCUCAACCCUGGAACUGCCUUUGAUACUGUCGAUCUGGAGUAUGGAAGAGGUGAGUGGAAUUCCGAGUGUAGAGGUGAAAUUCGUAGAUAUUCGGAGGAACACCAGUGGCGAAGGCGGCUCACUGGUCCAUUACUGACGCUGAGGUGCGAAAGCGUGGGGAGCAAACAGGAUUAGAAACCCCUGUAGUCCCAU